UCGCGGCCUAUCAGCUUGUUGGUGGGGUAAUGGCCUACCAAGGCGUCGACGGGUAGCCGGCCUGAGAGGGUGGACGGCCACAUUGGGACUGAGAUACGGCCCAGACUCCUACGGGAGGCAGCAGUGGGGAAUAUUGCACAAUGGGCGCAAGCCUGAUGCAGCGACGCCGCGUGGGGGAUGACGGCCUUCGGGUUGUAAACUCCUUUCGUUAGGGACGAAGCCACAUUUUUUUUAGGUGUGGUGACGGUACCUUUGUUAAGAAGCACCGGCUAACUACGUGCCAGCAGCCGCGGUAAUACGUAGGGUGCGAGCGUUGUCCGGAAUUACUGGGCGUAAAGAGCUCGUAGGUGGUUUGUUGCGUCGUCUGUGAAAUUCCGGGGCUUAACUUCGGGGUGGCAGGCGAUACGGGCAUAACUAGAGUGCUGUAGGGGAGACUGGAAUUCCUGGUGUAGCGGUGGAAUGCGCAGAUAUCAGGAGGAACACCGAUGGCGAAGGCAGGUCUCUGGGCAGUAACUGACGCUGAGGAGCGAAAGCAUGGGGAGCGAACAGGAUUAGAUACCCUGGUAGUCCAUGCUGUAAACGGUGGGCGUUAGGUGUGGGGACUUUAUUUGGUUUCUGUGCCGUAGCUAACGCAUUAAGCGCCCCGCCUGGGGAGUACGGCCGCAAGGCUAAAACUCAAAGGAAUUGACGGGGGCCCGCACAAGCGGCGGAGCAUGUGGAUUAAUUCGAUGCAACGCGAAGAACCUUACCUGGGUUUGACAUGCACCAGACGGUUGUAGAGAUACGUACCUCCCUUUGUGGUUGGUGUGCAGGUGGUGCAUGGUUGUCGUCAGCUCGUGCCGUGAGAUGUUGGGUUAAGUCCCGCAACGAGCGCAACCCUUGUCUUAUGUUGCCAGCACGUUUUCAGGUGGGGACUCAUGAGAGACUGCCGGGGUUAACUCGGAGGAAGGUGGGGAUGACGUCAAAUCAUCAUGCCCUUUAUGCCCAGGGCUUCACACAUGCUACAAUGGUUAGUACAACGCGCUGCAAGCCUGUGAGGGUGAGCGAAUCGCUGAAAGCUAAUCUCAGUUCGGAUUGGGGUCUGCAACUCGACCCCAUGAAGUCGGAGUCGCUAGUAAUCGCAGAUCAGCAAUGCUGCGGUGAAUACGUUCCCGGGCCUUGUACACACCGCCCGUCACGUCAUGAAAAUUGGUAACACCCGAAGCCCAUGGCCUAACCACCAUUUUUGGUGGGGGGAGUGGUCGAAGGUGGGGCUGGA
rnacentral:rRNA from 1 species